ensembl:snoRNA
AUCCUUUUGUAGCUCAUGAGCAACAAUGACUGGGUGUUCACAUGCACGUGUGAAAUGCACUACAAUCUCGGCACAUUACCCAUCUGACC